CGUCAAGUCGAAACUCACGAUAGAGAGAUUAUAUCACAUGAUAAUUGCACCUAGGAAUUUAUUUUUUUGUUCUACUGGAUUGUCAUUAUAUGUUGCUAGGCAUCAUUGAUAGAUCGUGAGAACUCACUAAGAUCAUUUUCGGAUCAACAAUCUUUAUUGAGGUGAGUUGGAAUCAUUUCAACCCAUCGAAAAGACUUUUGAUGAUACGGUGAUGGAGAUCACAGUAUGUCUGACUACCAGAUAAAGUAGAACCUAAGGGGUCAUACACAAAAGGAGCAUGACC
rnacentral:lncRNA from 1 species